AUCCAGCUGACGAGCCUUAAAUAAGACGAAACGUGUGUCCUGGAU
rfam:Schistosoma curassoni strain Dakar, Senegal genome assembly, scaffold: SCTD_scaffold0009812